AUACCCUAUUAUUUUUAAUGUAAAUUUUUUUAAAGCUAGAGUAGUAAUAGCUAUAAUCUUUAAACUCAAAGAAUUUGGCGGUAUUAUAAUCUUUUUAGAGGAAUUUGUCACGUAAUCGAUAGUCCUCGUUAAACCUUACUUAUAUUUAAUUCUUGUAUAUCGCUGUUUUUGGAGAUAUUUUUAGAUUUAUAUUUUCAAGAUAAAUUAUUAAUUAAUAAUUCAAGUCAAGGUGCAGUUAUUUAUAAGUUUGUUGAUGGAUUACAAUAAAUUUUAUUUAAAAUGAACGGAUUAUUAAUGGAAUAUUAAUAUGAAGGUGGAUUUAAAUGUAAUUUUAUUUAUUAUAUUAAAAUGAAUUUAUAGCUCUUUAAUAUGCACACAUCGC
rnacentral:rRNA from 1 species